UACGUAGGGAGCAAGCGUUGUCCGGAAUCAUUGGGCGUAAAGAGCUCGUAGGCGGUUUGUUGCGUCGGCCGUGAAAACCUGCAGCUUAACUGUGGGCCUGCGACCGAUACGGGCAGACUUGAGUUCGGUAGGGGAGACUGGAAUUCCUGGUGUAGCGGUGAAAUGCGCAGAUAUCAGGAGGAACACCGGUGGCGAAGGCGGGUCUCUGGGCCGUAACUGACGCUGAGGAGCGAAAGCAUGGGGAGCGAACAGG
rnacentral:rRNA from 1 species